CUGAAGGAUGCCUCCUUUCAAAGGCCAGUUGCAAUGAUUGAGAUGCCUUAGUCCUGACAUGAAGUGGGAAGGAGACUGUAAAGGAGAAGGUCUGGCCAGCUGAAAAACAAACAUGGAAUCACACCUGAGUGAGGAUGUGCUGCUAAAUGAAGAUGAAGGAAAGCAUUUCCCUGUGUGUUUUGAUGACUGCUGCUCACCCUUGAGCUGAGACUAUUUGGACCAGGAGCAAGAGGCACUUGUGAAGCUUGGAGCAGAGGCUCUGAGUUUAUGAGUGCCAAGAGACUGCUGCAGAGGAUCAAUGUGAAGUGUCGUGGCUGUCUGAAGGAGCUGGCUCAACAGAAGCAGUUUGUCUGCUGGGUCAGGCAAGCACUGAAAGAUAUGAAUGAGCUGAAGGUAGUUGUGGACUUGACAUCCAUUUCUGCUGGGGAGAAUGACAUGGAUGUGGGCUGUGUGGCCUGUUUCCAUGAUGCUGUGCAUGGCUACCCUUCCCCUGCUGUGUGACCCUAUGAAAAUAGGUUUAAAUACAGAUGGCAUUGGAAUAAUUGCUAGCAGUGGAAAGCUGAUUCAUAGCACCUUCACAUAUAUGUUACUGCUUAUAAUAGCUGUGAACAUGGUGUAUAUAUUUCUUAUAACAUUUUGAAUCUGUUACCCUUUCCUAUCAGUUAAAGGUCUGCUCUUGAUUCCCUCUUCUCUAUUUCUCUUCCCUUUUCAAUAACACAGUCUGAGGAAGAAUAUAUCAGAAGACUCUUAAUGAAAAUGUCAGGUGUAUUAUAUGGAAAUUGCCUGUUUAUUGGGAGU